UGUUACUUAUAAAUAACAAAUUUUGGAAUAGUAAUUUUGAUGAAAUUUAUCGGAUUUGGCGGCAAGAUAGCCAUUUAGAGGAACCUGCCCUAUAAACGAUGAUCCACGAUUUAACUAUACUUUUAUUAGUAUUUCAGUUUGUAUACCGCUGUUGUCAGUCAGUUUCUUUAGAAAACUUUCAAUAAUGAUAAAUUCAUUGACUUCAAGUAAAGGUGCAGCUUAUAUAAAAGACAGAGGUGGGUUACAUUUAAAAGAUUAAAACGGAUUAAGUUAAUGAAAGUAGCUUUUGAAGGUGGAUUUAAUUGUAAAGUUUAUAUAAACUUGAUGAGAGCUCUAUCUUGU
rnacentral:rRNA from 1 species